GUUGGAUCCUGGCUCAUGAUGAACGCUAGCUACAGGCUUAACACAUGCAAGUCGAGGGGAAACGACAUCGAAAGCUUGCUUUUGAUGGGCGUCGACCGGCGCACGGGUGAGUAACGCGUAUCCAACCUGCCUAUCACUUGGGGAUAACCUUGCGAAAGUAAGACUAAUACCCAAUGACGUCUCUAGAAGACAUCUGAAAGAGAUUAAAGAUUUAUCGGUGAUGGAUGGGGAUGCGUCUGAUUAGCUUGUUGGCGGGGUAACGGCCCACCAAGGCUACGAUCAGUAGGGGUUCUGAGAGGAAGGUCCCCCACAUUGGAACUGAGACACGGUCCAAACUCCUACGGGAGGCAGCAGUGAGGAAUAUUGGUCAAUGGACGAGAGUCUGAACCAGCCAAGUAGCGUGCAGGAUGACGGCCCUAUGGGUUGUAAACUGCUUUUAUAAGGGAAUAAAGUGAGUCUCGUGAGACUUUUUGCAUGUACCUUAUGAAUAAGGACCGGCUAAUUCCGUGCCAGCAGCCGCGGUAAUACGGAAGGUCCGGGCGUUAUCCGGAUUUAUUGGGUUUAAAGGGAGCGUAGGCCGGAGAUUAAGCGUGUUGUGAAAUGUAGAUGCUCAACAUCUGCACUGCAGCGCGAACUGGUUUCCUUGAGUACGCACAAAGUGGGCGGAAUUCGUGGUGUAGCGGUGAAAUGCUUAGAUAUCACGAAGAACUCCGAUUGCGAAGGCAGCUCACUGGAGCGCAACUGACGCUGAAGCUCGAAAGUGCGGGUAUCGAACAGGAUUAGAUACCCUGGUAGUCCGCACGGUAAACGAUGGAUGCCCGCUGUUGGUCUGAAUAGGUCAGCGGCC
rnacentral:rRNA from 1 species